AUUAUACCGUGAAACUGCGAAUGGCUCAUUAAAUCAGUUAUCGUUUAUUUGAUAGUACCUUACUACUUGGAUAACCGUGGUAAUUCUAGAGCUAAUACAUGCUAAAAACCCCGACUUCGGGAGGGGUGUAUUUAUUAGAUAAAAAACCAAUGCCCUUCGGGGCUCUUUGGUGAUUCAUGAUAACUUAACGGAUCGCAUGGCCUUGCGCCGGCGACGGUUCAUUCAAAUUUCUGCCCUAUCAACUUUCGAUGGUAAGGUAUUGGCUUACCAUGGUUUCAACGGGUAACGGGGAAUUAGGGUUCGAUUCCGGAGAGGGAGCCUGAGAAACGGCUACCACAUCCAAGGAAGGCAGCAGGCGCGCAAAUUACCCAAUCCCGACUCGGGGAGGUAGUGACAAUAAAUACUGAUACAGGGCUCUUUUGGGUCUUGUAAUCGGAAUGAGUACAAUUUAAACCCCUUAACGAGGAACAAUUGGAGGGCAAGUCUGGUGCCAGCAGCCGCGGUAAUUCCAGCUCCAAUAGCGUAUAUUAAAGUUGUUGCAGUUAAAAAGCUCGUAGUUGAACCUUGGGCCUGGCUGGCCGGUCCGCCUCACCGCGUGUACUGGUCCGGCCGGGCCUUUCCUUCUGGAGAGCCGCAUGCCCUUCACUGGGUGUGUUGGGGAACCAGGACUUUUACUUUGAAAAAAUUAGAGUGUUCAAAGCAGGCCUUUGCUCGAAUACGUUAGCAUGGAAUAAUAGAAUAGGACGUGCGGUCCUAUUUUGUUGGUUU
rnacentral:rRNA from 1 species